UACGUAGGGCGCAAGCGUUUGUCCGGAAUUAUUGGGCGUAAAGAGCUCGUAGGCGGUUUGUCGCGUCUGCUGUGAAAACCUAAGGCUCAACCUUGGGCUUGCAGUGGGUACGGGCAGACUAGAGUGCGGUAGGGGUGACUGGAAUUCCUGGUGUAGCGGUGGAAUGCGCAGAUAUCAGGAGGAACACCGAUGGCGAAGGCAGGUCACUGGGCCGCAAACUGACGCUGGAG
rnacentral:rRNA from 1 species